GCCGGGCACGGUGGUGCGUGCCUUUAGUCCCAGCUACUUGGGAGGCUGAGGCUGGAGGAUCACUUGAGUCCAGGAGUUCUGGGCUAUAGUGCGCUAUGCUGAUAGGGUGUCUGCACUAAGUUCGGCAUCAAUAUGGUAAAAUCCCGGGAGCUGAGGACCACUAGGUUGCCUAAGGAGGGGUGAACCAGCCCAGGUCUGAAACGGAGCAGAUCAAAAGUCCUGUGCUGACCAGUAGUGGGAUCACGCCUGUGAACAACCACUGCGCUCACACAUCAGGCUACUUUUUUACUUUCU
rnacentral:SRP_RNA from 1 species